CCGCGAGGUGGAGCAAAUCUAUAAAAUAUGUCCCAGUUCGGAUUGUUCUCUGCAACUCGAGAGCAUGAAGCCGGAAUCGCUAGUAAUCGCAAAUCAGCCAUGUUGCGGUGAAUACGUUCCCGGGUCUUGUACUCACCGCCCGUCACACCAUGGGAGUUGAUUUCACUCGAAGUGGAAAUACUAAACUAGUUAUCCCCCACAGUGGAAUCAGCGACUGGGGUGAAGUCGUAACAAGGUAACCGUAGGAGAACCUGCGGUUGGAUCACCUCCUUUCUA
rnacentral:rRNA from 1 species